rnacentral:rRNA from 1 species
AUGCAAGUAGAACGCUGAAGGAGGAGCUUGCUCUCUCUGGAUGAGUUGCGAACGGGUGAGUAACGCGUAGGUAACCUGCCUGGUAGCGGGGGAUAACUAUUGGAAACGAUAGCUAAUACCGCAUAACAGUAGAUGUUGCAUGACAUUUGCUUAAAAGGUGCAAUUGCAUCACUACCAGAUGGACCUGCGUUGUAUUAGCUAGUUGGUGGGGUAACGGCUCACCAAGGCGACGAUACAUAGCCGACCUGAGAGGGUGAUCGGCCACACUGGGACUGAGACACGGCCCAAACUCCUACGGGAGGCAGCAGUAGGGAAUCUUCGGCAAUGGACGGAGGUCUGACCGAGCAACGCCGCGUGAGUGAAGAAGGUUUUCGGAUCGUAAAGCUCUGUUGUAAGAGAAGAACGAGUGUGAGAGUGGAAAGUUCACACUGUGACGGUAUCUUACCAGAAAGGGACGGCUAACUACGUGCCAGCAGCCGCGGUAAUACGUAGGUCCCGAGCGUUGUCCGGAUUUAUUGGGCGUAAAGCGAGCGCAGGCGGUUAGAUAAGUCUGAAGUUAAAGGCUGUGGCUUAACCAUAGUACGCUUUGGAAACUGUUUAACUUGAGUGCAAGAGGGGAGAGUGGAAUUCCAUGUGUAGCGGUGAAAUGCGUAGAUAUAUGGAGGAACACCGGUGGCGAAAGCGGCUCUCUGGCUUGUAACUGACGCUGAGGCUCGAAAGCGUGGGGAGCAAACAGGAUUAGAUACCCUGGUAGUCCACGCCGUAAACGAUGAGUGCUAGGUGUUAGACCCUUUCCGGGGUUUAGUGCCGUAGCUAACGCAUUAAGCACUCCGCCUGGGGAGUACGACCGCAAGGUUGAAACUCAAAGGAAUUGACGGGGGCCCGCACAAGCGG